AGCUGUCCGAACAGCCGCUGUCUCCAAGGCCGUUGCGUCCAAUCACCUAAAGCGCCAAUCACUCGACGGCCAAUUAGACGCAGUCUCCGAGGGGCGUUGCGGCCAAUCAACGACCAGCUAACCUUCCUGAAGCAGAAGAUGGCUGCAGAAGCCAAGAGAAAGCUCAACUGGCAAGAAAGAAGCACAGGGAAGCCAUGUUGAGCAAGUUUACUCAUGUCAUAGGUUUAUCAAUCACUUUUUUAUGUGCUGUUUACACACAGUGUUAGGAAAAGAAACAUAUCAGGAAUGCGGGCUGUGGACAAGAGGCAAGCCAACGAAUCAGAUUCCCGACUGUGUGUUCACCAGGGUUCAGCUUGGAACUUGCUAUGUAAAAUAAAACACAUCUAGUUCAUUUA